GAUGAACGCUGGCGGCGUGCCUAAUACAUGCAAGUCGAGCGAACGGACGAGAAGCUUGCUUCUCUGAUGUUAGCGGCGGACGGGUGAGUAACACGUGGAUAACCUACCUAUAAGACUGGGAUAACUUCGGGAAACCGGAGCUAAUACCGGAUGAUAUUUUGAACCGCAUGGUUCAAAAGUGAAAGACGGUCUUGCUGUCACUUAUCGAUGGAUCCGCGCUGCAUUAGCUAGUUGGUAAGGUAACGGCUUACCAAGGCUACGAUGCAUAGCCGACCGGAGAGGGUGAUCGGCCACACUGGAGCUGAGACACGGUCCAGACUCCUACGGGAGACAGCAGUAGGGAAUCUGCCGCAAUGGGCGAAAGCCUGACGGAGCAACGCCGCGUGAGUGAUGAAGGUCUUCGGAUCGUAAAACUCUGUUAUUAGGGAAGAACAUAUGUGUAAGUAACUGUGCACAUCUUGACGGUACCUAAUCAGAAAGCCACGGCUAACUACGUG
rnacentral:rRNA from 1 species